rnacentral:rRNA from 1 species
AGUGAACGCUGGCGGUAGGCCUAACACAUGCAAGUCGAACGGCAGCACAGUAAGAGCUUGCUCUUACGGGUGGCGAGUGGCGGACGGGUGAGGAAUACAUCGGAAUCUACUUUUUCGUGGGGGAUAACGUAGGGAAACUUACGCUAAUACCGCAUAUGACCUACGGGUGAAAGCAGGGGAUCUUCGGACCUUGCGCGAUUGAAUGAGCCGAUGUCGGAUUAGCUAGUUGGCGGGGUAAAGGCCCACCAAGGCGACGAUCCGUAGCUGGUCUGAGAGGAUGAUCGGCCACACUGGAACUGAGACACGGUCCAGACUCCUACGGGAGGCAGCAGUGGGGAAUAUUGGACAAUGGGCGCAAGCCUGAUCCAGCCAUACCGCGUGGGUGAAGAAGGCCUUCGGGUUGUAAAGCCCUUUUGUUGGGAAAGAAAAGCAGCAGGUUAAUACCCCGCUGUUCUGACGGUACCCAAAGAAUAAGCACCGGCUAACUUCGUG